UAGGGAAUCUUCCACAAUGGACGCAAGUCUGAUGGAGCAACGCCGCGUGAGUGAAGAAGGGUUUCGGCUCGUAAAGCUCUGUUGUUAAAGAAGAACGUGGGUAAGAGUAACUGUUUACCCAGUGACGGUAUUUAACCAGAAAGCCACGGCUAACUACGUGCGAG
rnacentral:rRNA from 1 species